CCCUGGUUAGCUCAGUGGGUAGAGCGCUCCACUUGUAAUGGAGAGGUCCCGGGUUCGAUACCCGGACAAGGCG
rnacentral:tRNA from 1 species